rnacentral:lncRNA from 1 species
UACCUGUAAACCUCAUACAUGAUCAUACAUUUUAUGUGAAAAUAAAACUCUUUUCUGAACCAAGGCUUAACCUGUGCAUGCACUGUCUCUGUACUCUGUACUCAUGUACUCUGUACUCUGUAUCCCUGACUAGAGCUUGCUCUAGAUGGGUUAACUCAUACCUGUUAAGCCUGGUUUUCACAUACAGGAAAACAUAUAUACAUAUAUAGAUCAUGUACAAAACAUACAUCACUAGGUCUAGGUCAAGCAACAACUAUUACAUCUCUUUAAUAUUACAUGUCCACUCUAAGCUAUUACAGAUCUCUUCACUUUUCCUGUACUCUGCUGGACUGUCCCUGUACACUGUACACUGAACCUGCAAAACUGGGGUUAAGGGAGUGGGAUGAGCUCUAUAGCCCAGUGAGUAGAACAGUAAAACAUCUCAGUAAAAUAUGAUCUCAUGGAAUGCACCAUAUCACAGACAAGCCACAUCAAGAGUAAACCUGUCACCACAUAGUCCCAGUAACUCUGUGCCAGGGCGUAGAAUCGAGCACCUGGUCUUCCUGUCAUAUAUAUGUAUAUGUGUAUAUAACACCUCUGUACUUACCAUUGCCAGGGCGUAGUCAAAGGCUCCUGGACUUUACUAUAUACCUGCCAGGGCGUAGUCAAAGGCUCCUGGACUUCACUAUACAUGCCAGGGCGUAGUCAAAGGCUCCUGGACUUCCUGUCUAAGACUAUUGGAUCAUUCAGCAUUCACUCACAUCACCAAAUAACGAUGCAAUGCAACAUAUUCGUGAAUACUAAUGCAAUCAUCCUAUGGCAUAAACAUGAUGCAUGAGAUAUGCUCAAAAGCAGUUUGUAGUUCAAUUAAAAGUCAUAAGUUUAGUUCCACUCACCUCGGGCUAACUGGACUGACUGACUCUGCAGGUUCUGAACCUCUGGAGCAGUACUCACUGCUGCUCUCUCUGGUUCCUCUGGUCUGUACCUAUCCAGAUAAACGCACAUGAGGGACCAAACUAGCUUAUGACUAACUCUAUUUAAAUUCCCCAAGAAUCCCCUAAACCUCUCUCUAAUAGUCAUGCAAAGCAAGCAAAGGAAAGCUAGACAGAACACUUUCGGCGGCAGGUUCGGCGGCCGAAAGUCCUUUCCAGAGACGAAACUCAAGCACCUUCGGCGGCACCUUCGGCGGCCGAAUCCCCCAAACAGAGCCGAACAUGCACAACUCGCGGGGGCAAGCUAUGGCAGCCUAAGCCACCAUGCAAGAGGUUCGGCGGCCGAAUGAACCUUCGGCUGCCGAACCUGAGUUCAUCCAGAACUCAGCUUCAACGGCAAACCAUCUCCUCCUUCCCUUCAAUAACUCCAAACAUGCAUAUACCAAUUCCUCAACACACAUAUACAUAAGUAUAUGAUCACAGGGGUCCAAAACUAUCUAAUAACCCCAAACAACAAAUCAAACAUAACACAUAAACAUGUAUACAUGCAUAACUCAUCAAAACUAUCAUUAAGAACCUAAACAUGCAUCUUCUUCCACAAAUCCCCCUAAAACCUUCAGAAAACAUAUUCAAGAACAUCACUUACCUCCUGUAGUAAGAAGCUACACACUCUGAACAAGGGAAAACGGAUCACCUCCUCUCACACUCUCAAACUCUCUCAAACUCACUUUUUGCUUCACAACCUUCAAAACUUGGUAAACGAGCAAACUCCUGCAUGAGCUGCUCAAACUCAGCAAAUAAACCAAGGGAGACGUGGCCAACUUCUGGCAACAAGUUGGACAUAACACCUGUCCACAAUGCUGACUAAGGAUGGCUCAAAAGCUGGCUGACCAACACAGCUUCGGCUGCCGAAUCGC